rnacentral:rRNA from 1 species
UACGAAGGGGGCUAGCGUUGCUCGGAAUCACUGGGCAUAAAGCGCACGUAGGCGGCUAGGUCCGUCCGAUGUGAAAGCCCCCGGCUCAACCGGGGAAUUGCAUCGGAUACAGCCUGGCUUGAGGACGGUUGGGGUGAGUGGAACUCCUGGUGGAGCGGUGAAAUGCGUAGAUAUCAGGAGGAACACCGGUGGCGAAAGCGGCUCACUGGGACCGUUGCCGACGCUGAGGUGCGAAAGCUAGGGGAGCAAACGGG